CCACAAGCCAUUGCUCGAUACUCUGCUUCUACACUAUAUCAAGAUACUACAGGUUAUGUUUUACUCCUCCAUGACACCAGAUUACCACCAAUUUCAUAUGUGGAUUUUCUAUCAUCCAACGAUCCUACCCAGUCAACAUUGGUUAAGGCUUUUACCUUUAAGUGCCCAUUAUUGGAGAACAACAACCCUUUGUCAGG